rnacentral:rRNA from 1 species
AAUCUUCCGCAAUGGACGAAAGUCUGACGGAGCAACGCCGCGUGAGUGAUGAAGGGUUUCGUAUCGUAAAAACCCGUUGUUAGGGAAGAACAAGUAUCGGAGUCACUACCGGUACAUUGUCGGUACCUGACGAGAAAGUCACGGCUAACUACGAGCAACCAGCCGCGGUAAUACGAAGGUGGCAAGCGUUGUCCGGAUUUAUUUGGCGUAAAGCGCGCGCAGGCGGUCUUUUAAGUAUGAUGUAAAAUCUUACAGCUUAUCUGUAAGCGGUCGUUGGAAGCUGGGGGCCUUGAGUGCAGAAGCGGAGAGUAGCAUUACAUGUGAAGCGGUGAAAUGCGUCGAGAUAUGGACGAACACCAGUGGCGAAGGCGACUCUCUGCUCUGUAACUGACGCUGAGGCGCGAAAGCGUCGGGAUCAAACA